rnacentral:rRNA from 1 species
AGUGAACGCUGGCGGUAGGCCUAACACAUGCAAGUCGAACGGCAGCACAGUAAGAGCUUGCUCUUACGGGUGGCGAGUGGCGGACGGGUGAGGAAUACAUCGGAAUCUACUUUUUCGUGGGGGAUAACGUAGGGAAACUUACGCUAAUACCGCAUACGACCUACGGGUGAAAGCAGGGGAUCUUCGGACCUUGCGCGAUUGAAUGAGCCGAUGUCGGAUUAGCUAGUUGGCGGGGUAAAGGCCCACCAAGGCGACGAUCCGUAGCUGGUCUGAGAGGAUGAUCGGCCACACUGGAACUGAGACACGGUCCAGACUCCUACGGGAGGCAGCAGUGGGGAAUAUUGGACAAUGGUCGCAAGCCUGAUCCAGCCAUACCGCGUGGGUGAAGAAGGCCUUCGGGUUGUAAAGCCCUUUUGUCGGGAAAGAAAAGCAGCAGGUUAAUACCCCGCUGUUCUGACGGUACCCAAAGAAUAAGCACCGGCUAACUUCGUG